rnacentral:RNase_P_RNA from 1 species
UGAGACCUCUUGAUGGCCGCGGCCGUGAUCUUCAUUGGGAUCGGCUGAGGAACUUCCGGGCUCCAUAGAGCACGAUGGCGGAUAACGUCCGCCCAGGGUGACCUGAGAGAUAGCGCAACAGAGAACAGACCGCCCGUCCUCGACGGGUAAGGGUGAAACGGCGGUGUAAGAGACCACCGGGCCUCUGGUAACAGUAGGUCGCAUGGCAAGCCUCAUCGGGAGCAAGGCCAAGCAGAUGGCGGUAAGGGCUGCUCGCCCGUGUCAUCGGGUAGGCUGCUAGAGCCUGGCGGCAACGUCAGGUCGAGAUGGAUGGCCAUCCGUGCCGUGCGUGCGCGCACGGCACGACAGAACCCGGGGUAUAAGAGGUCUCAUUUU